rnacentral:rRNA from 1 species
CAGUAGCCACGGUAAUACGUAGGUGGCAAGCGUUGUCCGGAAUUAUUGGGCGUAAAGGGCUCGCAGGCGGUUUCUUAAGUCUGAUGUGAAAGCCCCCGGCUCAACCGGGGAGGGUCAUUGGAAACUGGGAAACUUGAGUGCAGAAGAGGAGAGUGGAAUUCCACGUGUAGCGGUGAAAUGCGUAGAGAUGUGGAGGAACACCAGUGGCGAAGGCGACUCUCUGGUCUGUAACUGACGCUGAGGAGCGAAAGCGUGGGGAGCGAACAGGAUUAGAUACCCGUGUAGUCCCUGUCUCUUAUAA